rnacentral:rRNA from 1 species
CCCUAGCGAAAGCCGAUGUCGAUGUACGGUGUGCCAAAAUAUUAAACCGAAGUCUCUCUCGUAGGCGAGAGCGCGCGGCGCGUAUACUCGUCCCAGCUAAAGCGGGUCCGUGUCUCUCUCUCUCUACUCUAUCUCCGCGUAUCAACGCGCGGAGUAUAUAGUUAAGCAGCAGAGAGCGCACACGACAGCGGCAGCAGAUAAUACGGAAGAGAAAACGCGCGCGUCCUCCGAAGGGGAGAGACGUUUGAACGAAAAAGUACACACCCGCCGGGCGAGAGGGAAUCCGGUUAUAGUU